rnacentral:rRNA from 1 species
UACGGGGGGGGCAAGCGUUGUUCGGAAUUACUGGGCGUAAAGGGCUCGUAGGCGGCCAACUAAGUCAUACGUGAAAUCCCUCGGCUUAACCGGGGAACUGCGUCUGAUACUGGAUGGCUUGAGUUCGGGAGAGGGAUGCGGAAUUCCAGGUGUAGCGGUGAAAUUCGUAGAUAUCGGGAGGAACACCAGUGGCGAAGGCGGCGAUCUGGGAAGAUACUGACGCUGAGGUGCGAAAGCGUGGGGAGCAAACAGG